AACUGAUACUACCUGCGGGAACCUGCGGAGGGAUCAUUAUCGAGUUUACAACUCCCAAACCAUUGUGAAUCUUACCUUUUCGUUGCUUCGGCGGGAUCGCCCCGGGCGCUUCGGUGCCCCGGAUUCAGGCGCCCGCCGGGGGACCUAAACUCUUGUAUUAUAGUGGAUUUCUGAGUGGAUUACACAAAUAAUCAAAACUUUUAACAAUGGAUCUCU
rnacentral:misc_RNA from 1 species